rnacentral:miRNA from 13 species
GCUGGUCAAAAGGAACCAGAU